AUUGAACGCUGGCGGCAGGCCUAACACAUGCAAGUCGAACGAGAGGCGGACGGGAGAGAUAUGUCCGGGAAAAUGCGCGAGGGAGGGGGAUAACUAAUGGAAACAGUAGCUAAUACCGCAUAACACCGGCUGUGCCGAGAUGGCAUGAGCUAGUAGGUGGGGUAACGGCUCACCUAGGCGACGAACCCUAGCUGGUCUGAGAGGACGACCAUCCACACUGGGAAUGAGACACGGUCCAUACUCCUACGGGAGGCAGCAGUGGGGAAUAUUGCACAGUGGGCGGAAGCCUGAUGCAGCCAUGCCGCGUGUGUGAGGAAGGCCUUCGGGUUGUAAAGUACUUUCGGCGGGGAGGCGUUACGCGCAGAAGAAGCACCGGCUAACUCCGUGCCAGCAGCCGCGGUAAUAC
rnacentral:rRNA from 1 species